UACGUAGGGGGCAAGCGUUGUCCGGAAUUAUUGGGCGUAAAGAGCGUGUAGGCGGUUCGAUCAGUUUGCUGUAAAAAGUCGGGGGGCUCAACCCCCCGAAAGCCGGUGAAUACUGUCGGACUAGAGUACGGAAGAGGCGAGUGGAAUUCCUGGUGUAGCGGUGACAUGCGCAGAUAUCAGGAGGAACACCUAUUGCGAAGGCAGCUCGCUGGUACGUAACUGACGCUGAGACGCGAAAGCAUGGGGAGCGAACAGG
rnacentral:rRNA from 1 species